GUAUGAAAUGGUGGGCUCUGGUGCAUUUUUGGUUUAUAUAUUUAAAGGUGGUCAAUCAUACUAUAUGGGGAAAAUGUAUGCAAUUGCAAAUUUUAGUCCAAAAGAUGGAGAAAGUAUAUCUAUUGUACAACAGACUUGAUACAUCUGUUGAUUUAGGUAGAGAAUGGUAGAAAACAUAAGUGCAAUUUCGCUGGCAACGGUAUCCCCGUCUAUUUUUAGAGCGCGGGCGUCCUUCUGGUACUUUGAUUUUCAAAGCGCCACCUAUUUUAGCUGCACAAAAUGGCGUCAUCUAGUCCUAGCACAGUAAGUAAUAGACAAAAAUCUUUGUUUAUACAUAAACGCCUUCAUAUCUCGGGUCGUUAUCCCCGAUUAUUUAUAUGAAAUAUUAUUCGUAUAUUUUCUAUGUAAAGUUUACUGAAGAAAACUCAAGGGUUAUUGCGUUAUUAUCAAUCGAUUACGAACCGUAUGAGGAAGCACAGAUGGGUAGAGGAAGGGGCAGAGGACGGAGAGGUAGUGGGCCCAGAGUUCAGACUGGUCGUGGAAGAGGAAGAGGGGCCCGUGGAAAAAGAACUCUCAGGGGUGACAGGCUCGAUGCAGACCGACGGGCAUUUUUGGAAGAAUUACGAGAAGAAAGAAAGAGAAAAGCACACAGGAGAUGGUUGAGUCACUUACAGAAGAAGGGGCCAAGAACAUUUUGAGAAAGGCUGCAGAGAAGGUGCCUGCGUUGCUACUAGAUGUAGCAGAUGAAUUAACCGCUGCUGCAGAAGGGCCAGAACCUGAGCCAGAAGAUAACACAAGUCCAUCCUGGUGUGUGUGUCAACACUGCAGAGAGAUGGCAGAAGAUAGAGAGAAGGUUUGUUGUGGGAUGUGACCUGAUCUUUGCAGUAGCAUUCAGCCAGAAAUGGAAAUGUUCAUCAUGGAGCCUAUUGCCAUCCAGAUUAACCAGUUAUACCGAAAUGAUAUAUUUGCUAGGCAUGCAAGAACAGAGGAGGACCUGCAGAAGUCCAGAAGGCAUGCUGCCUACAGACUUUGGAUUUUGCACGAGUUCGGGAAGCUUGGGUACAAAGACAGGCGUGUUAUCCCUUCAUGUGUCACUUGGACUGUCAGGGACAAGUACCCCGACCCUCGUGGUCAUUACGUUGGGUUCAUACCUUCAUGGUGACUUUUGCAUCUUUUAAUAAAUUGGCAGUCCAUAGCUUGUUGUAUUGUCUGUAGUAAAUCACUAAUUUUGCUGUGCCGAAAUUGAAACUUACAAAUAUUACCAAAUUUCAGGAAAGCCAUUUAUUGAGUUUUUGAUAUACAUAACAGAGCCCUCUGAACUAUAUUUUGUAUAAUUACUUGACUUCUAUAAACAGCCGGUCAAUAGUUUGUGCUAUUGACUGGUCUAAAGUUCAACAAUUUUACUGGGCCGAAGUCAAAACUGAAAGUACAAGAUAUUAAAAUGUAUUUCUGGUGACACGAAAUAUAAAAUUUAUUGCUUGCCAGUCAAUAGUCAGAACUAUUUGUCUUGAGCAAUAGUUUUUACUAUUGACCAGAGUCAUUCAGAAUGUGUAUAUUUCAAGAUGGCCAUCCUUUAAUUGUGUCCCAUUUUCUGGACCAAUAACUGUAAUGGUGAAAUAUUUGUUUAAUGUAAAUACAGACCUAUCACAGUGGUAUGUUAGGUCUGAUGAUCUCCUAGAUAUGUUUACUAGGUUUAUUUUUGUAAAACACAAAAAACUAUGUUAUAUAUUUGUUAUGAUUUAGAAUUUCAUUUUUGCCAUAUAUGCUUGUUUGGAAUGUGUAGGACACUGUAAGCUGUGUAGGCGGGUCAUAAAUAGGCAACAACAAUAUAACAUCAAACUCCAGUUUAUUUCUCUUUGAAUGUAAAAGCUAUUUUCAUAACACAUAUUAACAUUUAUCAAAGUAAGUGUUUGAAAAGAAAUUGUUUCAUUGUUACAUGUAUUCAAAAUGACUAUUGAUGCAUUCAGUAAACCUUUUCCUGUAUAAUCUACAUGUUUUUUGGCAUGCAUCUUUUUCAUUUACAACAAUUACGUAUUUCCUAAACAAUGUUGUUGGGAUAAUUAUCUAUGUCUGACAAUAGUUAUCAUUGUAGGAUUAGUUUUGACAAUAAAAAGUACAGUAAACUGACAUGUUUGUAGCUUCUUGUAAGAAUUACUAGCCAUAUAUAUAAUGGGUGUGUCUCAAUACUUGACACUCAACAAUAUUAAUCAAUAGUGAUCACUACCUCUGACUCUUAUACAUAAGGUAUUUCAAAUAAACAAGAGCUGUUUAAUAACAGCACGCUCAACUAUUUGAAGCCAUUAAACCUAAUUAUUGCUUACAAAGGCUUAUAAAAAUUUUCUAAUCUGGAAAGGGGCAUAAUUUUGACCAAAUAAAAGCUAGAGUUACAUAUUGUGUCCUGGAAGAUCAUCUAAUGAUGUCGAAGACAUGUGUUAAAGUUUGAAAGCAUUUGCCCAAGUAAAUGUUGAGAUUUCUGUUUAAAUGCAGAUCUUUAUCCAGAAAUUCUAAGUUAAAAACAUGCAUAAUUUUGACAAAAUAAAAGCUAGAGUCAUAAACGUUGUCCUGUGAGGUCAUCUAAUGAUGCCAAAGACAUAUGUAAUGUUUGAAAUCAUUUGGCCCAGUAGUUGUUGAGAAACCCAACUGCAAAACUUUUGAUACUGACGAAGGGGGUGAUUCCAAAAUAUGUACUAUUGAAAAAAAAUCAAA